rnacentral:lncRNA from 1 species
CUGUGACAUUCUCCGCGCCCAGGCCAUUUUUCAUAACGCCGCGGAUCGGCUUUUGUGCCUCUGAGGCGACUAAACAGAUGAAUAACGAGCAAAGUCUCCCGAAACUAGUUUGAAAGUUGGUUUCUGGCAAGAGGAAAGAAAAGGCUGCAACAUUAAAAGAAGAAUCAAAGUGUUAAAAGGACGCCCAAAAUGUAGUAUUGUGGCAGGUCGGGGAAGAAGAAAACAUCAAUAUCCC